rnacentral:rRNA from 1 species
AAAAAAAGAUGAGUUUGAUGUUGGCUCCGAAUGAACGCUGUCCAGAAGCUUUAACACAUGCUAAUCGAACGAUCAAACCUAAGCUUUUAGCUCUUAAAUUUCUGUGACUUCCAAAGUUACAAUAAAAUAAGAACAGAAGAUAGUUUGAAAGUGGUGUACAGGUGAGUAUAAAGUAGGAAGACUAGCCCAAAGAAAGGCAUAAAAUACCUUAUAGAAAGGCGUUGCCAAAAAAAGAUAUAUAAUUUCGCUUUGGGAUGAGCCUACUCGGGGAGGUAGUAGGAGAGGUAAUUGCUUAACUAGCCUAAGAUCCGUAGUCGUAUCUGAGAGGAUGAUCGACCACAUUGGCUCUGAAACAACAGCCAAGUCUACCCAUAAGGGAAACCAGCAGUGAGGAAUAUUGGUCACUGACCGCAAGGUUGAACCAGCUAUCUGGAAGGGUGUAAACUAAAUAAGGAUAAAGCCCUAAAAAAGAGAGGAUAAUGACGUUAUCUUUUUGACUAGUCUCGACCAAAUCACGUGCCAGCAGUCGCGGUAAAACGUGGGAGGCAAGCGUUAUUGAUCUUAAAUGGGUCUAAAGGGUCCGUAAAACGGUAAAUUAAGCGAAUACCUCACCUAUUCGGGGAGGUAGUAUAAUCGAACUGAUUUACUAGAGUCUUAUAGAAGAACAGAGGAAUUGCAAGAGUAAGGAUGAAAUCUAUUGAUACUUGUAGGACCGCCAAAGGCGAAGGCAUCGUUCUAGGUAAAGACUGACGUUGAGGGACGUAGGCGUUGGGAGCGAAAAGGAUUAGAUACCCCUGUAGUCAACGCUGUAAACGAUGAGUGCUUAAGAUUAGUAAUAAUUAUUAACAAGUUAUUAGGCUUUAAUGCCGUUAACUAUUAAAAAAAAAAAAUUAGUCUCGAAAUGAAGAUGUUAAGCACUUCACCUGGGGAGUACUGUCGCAAGGCUGAAACCCAAAACAUUAGACGGUCACGGAAACCAGCAGUGAAGCAUGUUAUUUAAUACGAUGAUCCGCGUACAACCUUACCACUUCUUGAAUGUCCUUUUCUGUAAAAAGAAAAGGCCUAUUUAAUUAAAAAACUUUAAUUAAAUUUGGAUAAAUACAACAGGCGUUGCAUGGCUGUCUUCAGUUCGUGUCGUGAGAUGUCAGGUUCAUUCCGGUCAACGAAUGAAACCCUUCUUUCUUAAUUUUGCUCUUUUUUUUUAUUAAUUUAAAUUAAAUUUAUUAAGAUGACCCUUGGAAAACGAGGAUAUAAUGGGGAUUAAGACAAGUCGUCAUGGCCUUUAUGAAGUGGGCUAUAGACGUGCCACAAAAGCUUUUACAAUAGGAUGCUAAGACGUGAGUCAGCGCUAAACCUUAAAAAAAGCUAUGUUCGGAUUGUAGUCUGCAACUCGACUACAUGAAGCAGGAAUUGCUAGUAAUCGUAAAUCAGGACGUUACGGUGAAGUAUUAAAUCUGUGAUGUACUAACUACUCGUCAAGCGCGGAAAGGUGCGUGGCCCCGAAGAGGUUAUCCUUUUUUUCUUAUUACAAUAGGACAAAAGGGAUGGUUUCGACUGGUCGGCGCUGAUUCGUGUUAAGUCGAAAUAAGGUAGGUGUAGGGGAACCUGUACCUGAAAAAUUAAUAUCCAACUACCCCUUUAUUAUU